GUAUAUUAUCAGCGUCAAUUCAUUUCUAUUUCCUUUUUGGGUCUUUGGUGUAAACCCCAAAAAAGUAGUUCCGACCACAAAGAGUAGUGUCCCUUUGAACGCUUGUAGAUUACAAUAGAAACUGGCAGUUUCUAUAUCGUGACGUCACAAUACAAAAUAGCAAGUCCGCAUAAACGAUCAGUGACGCAGAAAAUACAAAAUACCGGUGACGGCAAGGAUUGAUUGCCGAGUUUAUGAGCUUCGGUCCUUGCUUGGAAGUUGGAUAA
rnacentral:lncRNA from 1 species